UUGGUGAGCGCUGGUGGUUUAUUCUUCCGUGGAGUUAAGGGUUCCGUGGACAUCUCAAGUCUUCAGGGUCUUCCAUCUGGUGAGCCUUUGGCCCCUUGGGGCCCGCGGAAGCUUCGCCGCUCUCCCCUUGGGCGGGGGUCGUGAACGUCAAGACAGUCCCGGCCUGCAGUUGCCGCGGAGGAGCCGUGGGCACGAUGACUCUGCACCGCCUCCUCGGUGACGGACCGGCCGCCGGGAAUGGCCCCCGCCGGCCGCCGUCGGGGGCUUCCCAGUGCCAAGCCUGGACGCCGGGGCCCGCGAGGGGGCGGGCUGAGGGUGGGGGGUCUGUGGGCAGGACCGAGGAGUUGGGGCGGCUUCCGUCCUGGAGAGUUCGGUACGUGAAAGUUAGCUCUCCCGGAGGUGCCGGUGAACUCAAAAUCGUGCUGUGUCCGGCGUCAGGCGUGGAGACAACAGAAAGUUGUGCUUACGCUCGAAUCAGAAAUCCUCGGCGAGUCUGUGUCCUCCCUGCUUUUCUGCUCUGUGCCGUCCUUACUUUGCACCUUCCUAUUGCAAUUACUUCAACCAGUUCGCUGCCCUCGGUCUCUCACCAGCCAGAGUGAUCAUUUAAAAUGCCAAUCAGUUCCUAUGGGCCUUGGGAAUCAUUCAGAGGAGCCCCAUUGGCUGAGAGAUAAAAUUCUGUUUUUACCUGGGCACGCGGGCUCUCCAGAAUUUGAUUCCAGCUUACCUUUCCAGUCUUGAUUCCCUAUAUUCCAGUAUUUGGAAAUGUGGGUUUUGGACUGAGGCUUUACCAAAUAACGCUGAGCACCCAGUAUUGCCUUUUGCACGAAUGGUACUGAUGGUGCCCAAGAUAACUGCCUCCACCCCCAAGUUCAGGACCCAGAUCACUCUCUGGAGAAGGCCUCAGCCUCUUGACAUGGCUUUCAAGGCUCUGCGUGAUUUGGAUACUCGCUUAGCUCUUAUUUAUAUAUUUUUAAAAACAUCAGCAGUUUGUCUCAUGCGCACUAAGCUAUCCUGCCUCAGUACCCUUUGUUCAUACUUUAUGCUCUGUCUGGAAUGCCCUUCCCUUCUUUCUUCCUCUGUUCUUUCUCUUAGACCCAAGGGUUCUCAGCCUUAUUUCUGCCUCUCCCGUCUCUGAUUUACUUUCAUUUUCUGUAUCGGUUUCUCAAAAAAUACUUUCUUGAUUUUUUCAUCAUCCCUUUUCCCACCCUACCCCCGGUUCCUCUUUCCACAUUAUAAUCUAUGACUGCUUCUCUCACCUAACUGCCAGUAUUAGCUUUUCAGGACAGGAACUGGUUUUACACAUUUUGGUAUUCCAGCAUCUAGCAUAAUGCCUGACACUUAGCUGAAUAAAGGGAGUAAAUAGAUUUGUAAAGUCAGCAAAUGCUUUUUAAUUUGUGAAUCUUAUUUUAAUGAUGAUCUGAUUUUCUUUUUACAGGAACUAUAUAAAGUUCAGAAAACAUGGUGAGUUAAUACACAUGCCAAUAAACUGUUGCCUGAUAAACCGUAUUGCUUGUACUCAACUUACAGACUUGUGUGGGAAAAUUGAAAUAGAAGGAAAGCAUUGAGAAGAUGCCUUUUAUCUUGUCAGUUUCCUCUCACCUAUUGAACUUUGUAUAUACCAGGAUAGGUUUUGUAAGAUGAUUUGUAGGCUUGCAGGACUUGGCUUACUUUCAGUGGGUAGGAGUCACUCAUGUGUUUUUCCUUUGUAGUCUCGAAGAUAUGACUCCAGGACCACUAUAUUUUCUCCAGAAGGGACAUGGCUUGCAGUGUGGCAGGCAUAACUUCUGAUGCUAAUGUUCUGACUAAUGAACUAAGGCUCAUUGCUCAAAGUAUUUAUUACAGUAUCAGGAGCCAAUACCUUGUGAGCAGUUGGUUACAGCACUGUGUGAUAUCAAACAAGCUUAUACACAAUUUGGAGGAAAACGUCCCUUUGGUGUUUCAUUGCUGUACAUUGGCUGGGAUAAGCACUAUGGCUUUCAGCUCUAUCAGAGUGACCCUAGUGGAAAUUACGGGGGAUGGAAGGCCACAUGCAUUGGAAAUAAUAGCGCUGCAGCUGUGUCAAUGUUGAAACAAGACUACAAAGAAGGAGAAAUGACCUUGAAGUCAGCACUUGCUUUAGCUAUCAAAGUACUAAAUAAGACCAUGGAUGUUAGUAAACUCUCUGCUGAAAAAGUGGAAAUUGCAACACUAACAAGAGAGAAUGGAAAGACGGUAAUCAGAGUUCUCAAACAAAAAGAAGUGGAGCAGUUGAUCAAAAAACACGAGGAAGAAGAAGCCAAAGCUGAGCGUGAGAAGAAAGAAAAAGAACAGAAAGAAAAGGAUAAAUAGAAUCAGAGAUUUUAUUACUCAUUGGGGCACCAUUUCAGUGUAAAAGCUGUCCUACUCUUCCACACUAGGAAGGCUUUGACUUUUUUUAACUGGUGCAGUGGGAAAAUAGGACAUUACAUACUGGAUUGGGUCCUUGUCAUUUCUGUCCAAUUGAAUAUUGUAAUGAUGAUGGUUACUCUUCAUGGACAUCUUAAUCUUCCACACACAUCCCCUUUUUUUGGAAUAAAAUUUGGAAAAUGGAAAUGAAGGAAUAAA
rnacentral:sRNA from 1 species